rnacentral:rRNA from 1 species
AGCCUGCCCAGUGAAAAUUAAACGGCUGCGGUACCCUGACCGUGCAAAGGUAGCAUAAUCACCCGUUCUUUAAAUGAGGACUCGUAUCAAUGGCAUCACGAGGGUUAUACUGUCUCCCCCCCCCAAUCAGUGAAACUGAUCUCCCCGUGAAGAAGCGGGGAUAUAAAUAUAAGACGAGAAGACCCCAUGGAGCUUAAAACCACACAGCAACUCUACCACUCAACCCCCUAUAGUACUUUAGAGACAUGCAACAAGGUUUUUGGUUGGGGUGACCGCGGAGUAAAAACCAACCUCCACAUUGUAAAGAUCUAAGUCUUUAUCCUAGAACUACUAUUCAAAGAAUUUGUAUACAAACAACUAAUGACCCGAUUUUCGAUCAACGGACCAAGUUACCCUGGGGAUAACAGCGCAAUCUACUCUUAGAGCCCUUAUCGAUAAGUAGGCUUACGACCUCGAUGUUGGAUCAGGGUAACCUAGCGGCGCAGCCACUGCUAACGGUUCGUUUGUUCAACGAUUA